rnacentral:lncRNA from 1 species
ACACAACCAUCGAGCACAACACAAGCCUUCAGAAUAGCAAGUAGUUCAGGACAGUUAGCCAGAAAACUAUCUGCUUUCUAGUAGUAGUAGUACCACUUCCCACUGUAAUAAAGCCUGUAUAAUCAAGGCAUUUGUAACAUAAGACUGGGAAGGUAGUAAGGUAAUUUCUUUAUCUUUGUGUGAACCCUUCGGGGGUUCCCGAAAGGGAAAACCGUAUGUAAGC